rnacentral:rRNA from 1 species
ACGUUCGGAUUGCAGGCUGCAACCCGCCUGCAUGAAGUUGGAAUCGCUAGUAAUCGCGGAUCAGCAUGCCGCGGUGAAUACGUUCCCGGGCCUUGUACACACCGCCCGUCACACCAUGAGAGUUGGCAAUACCCAACGUACGUGAUCUAACCCGCAAGGGAGGAAGCGUCCUAAGGUAGGGUCAGCGAUUGGGGUGAAGUCGUAACAAGGUACC